rnacentral:lncRNA from 1 species
CGCCCUGCCCCGUGAACCCUCUCCGCUGCCGCCUCCCCUCGCCCACCUCGACGGCCAUGUUCGUGGGUGGGGAGAGGCCAGCCCGACCCUCGGACGGCGGGACUCGCGGGCUACUUUAGGAGGAAGAGCAAGCUCCAUAACAGACAGAAGUUUAAAUUGUCAUUCCCAACUGCUAAUCAGGAAGCGGAAGUUAAACUCUUAGCAAAAUGGCAGCACCUGGAAAGACAAAUGGAGCCAAACUACCUGGGUUCAAAUCCUGACUCCACCACACGCUAGUUACCAAUGAUCCUGAUCUGCCCAAGGCUGAGGAGUUUCCCAGGAUAUGGGACUUUCACUGCUAAAACCAGGAUAGUCCCAUGCAAAGCAGCAUGGCUGAUCACCCUACUUGCUGCCAUGAGACUACCACCAUCCUCGAGGAUGAUAGAUCCCAAGGAGAGAGUGACCCAGUCAACAUCCAGCCCCAUCAGCAUGUGACUUAUCCAGCCCCAGUCCAGUCACCAGAUAAUAGCAAAUGCAUGAGUUAAUUCAGGUGAGACCAUCAGAACGAUCUAGCUGAACUUGUCUCAAAUUGCUGUCCUCUGUUGGAGUUUUUCUGCACAUAAAAAAUAAAAUUGCUGUCCUACAUAACUGUAAAC